AUAUGUUACAGGUCAUGUGACCCCAUGACACAUGUAUAUGUGCAUAUAUAUGAGAUGCCUGGUGACUCUGCUCAGACAACAGCGCUGAACCUCCCUCUUCAGAGCUUCCCGUCACUUCAGAGAAGUCCACCUGCCACUAUGAUGUCUGGAGGCUAUCUGCACUGAGCCUGCUACUCCAGAAAUUCCAGAAGAUUACUGAUGAGGUGAAACUACAAUUGACCAAAAAACAAACAGGAACUGUAGCAUUUUUCAAGCCAUAGUAUAUAGGUCACAGGUGGUUUGCUGGGAUAAACUACUUUAUUAAGGUCCAGAUUCUGAAGAUGAGUAUGCCCACUUAAGGGUCUUUCCAGGCCCUUCCUUAUGCGAACCAAGGUCCCAGACUUGAUGGUAUCAGACUGGCAAGACCAGAGAUGAUCCUCUACCUACUUCUGAGAAACGAUGAGGAACGGUGCCUCACUUCUGCAAAUCACAUUCUACCUGUGUCAGUAAAUGCAGAAAAAUAAUGAAGUUUUGAAAGC